rnacentral:rRNA from 1 species
CGUAGGCGGGUCGUUAAGUUGGGGGUGAAAGCCCAGGGCUCAACCCUGGAAUUGCCUUCAAUACUGGCGACCUUGAGUAUGGCAGAGGUGUGUGGAACUCCGAGUGUAGAGGUGAAAUUCGUAGAUAUUCGGAAGAACACCAGUGGCGAAGGCGACACACUGGGCCAUUACUGACGCUGAGGCGCGAAAGCGUGGGGGAGCAAACAGGAUUAGAUACCCUGGUAGUCCACGCUGUAAACGAUGAGUGCUAGUUGUCGGUAUGCAUGCAUAUCGGUGACGCAGCUAACGCAUUAAGCACUCCGCCUGGGGAGUACGGUCGCAAGAUUAAA